CCUACGGGGGGCUGCAGUGGGGAAUAUUGGACAAUGGGGGCAACCCUGAUCCAGCCAUGCCGCGUGUGUGAAGAAGGCCCUCGGGUUGUAAAGCACUUUCAGUGAGGAAGAACGCCUGGUGGUUAAUACCCAUCAGGAAAGACAUCACUCACAGAAGAAGCACCGGCUAACUCCGUGCCAGCAGCCGCGGUAAUACGGAUGGUGCGAGCGUUAAUCGGAAUUACUGGGCGUAAAGCGCGCGUAGGUGGCUUGAUAAGCCGGUUGUGAAAGCCCCGGGCUCAACCUGGGAACGGCAUCCGGAACUGUCAAGCUAGAGUGCAGGAGAGGAAGGUAGAAUUCCCGGUGUAGCGGUGAAAUGCGUAGAGAUCGGGAGGAAUACCAGUGGCGAAGGCGGCCUUCUGGACUGACACUGACACUGAGGUGCGAAAGCGUGGGUAGCAAACAGGAUUAGAUACCCCGGUAGUC
rnacentral:rRNA from 1 species